rnacentral:rRNA from 1 species
UACGUAGGGUGCAAGCGUUGUCCGGAAUUAUUGGGCGUAAAGAGCUCGUAGGCGGUUUGUCGCGUCUGCUGUGAAAACUCGGGGCUUAACUCCGGGCCUGCAGUGGGUACGGGCUGACUAGAGUGCGGUAGGGGAGACUGGAAUUCCUGGUGUAGCGGUGAAAUGCGCAGAUAUCAGGAGGAACACCGGUGGCGAAGGCGGCUUGCUGGGCCAGUUCUGACGCUGAGGAGCGAAAGCGUGGGGAGCGAACAGG